CCGCUGGGAAGGAGGGUGCAAAGGGCGACCCUGGAGGUCCAGGUACUUCAGGAAAGAGCGGUCCAGCAGGUCUGAAAGGUUUCCGUGGAAGUCGUGGAGCGCCGGGUGCCAUGGGGCCAGUUGGAUUAAAGGGAGGGGCGGGGCCAAUCGGGCCCUCUGGACCUUCUG